UCUUUGCAGCAACCACGAACGGCAUCCACCAAAGCGCUUUCCAAGUACUUCAUUGCUCAAUAAACGUUUGUUGGAGAAACCGGUGAAUAAAGGUGAAAUAAUAAAACGUGGACGCAUUUCGGAAAGAGAAGGAACCCCCGAGCUCACACUUUGCACGAUCACCCCCACCGGUCCCAGGAGUUUUCGCGUAAAUCGAAGCCCGGGGAGUGAGUCGCAGGCAGCGACCCCGGGGAAGGUGUUUCAGGCCGGCCCGGGUGGACGAUGCUUCCCGCCGCCUCCCCGACACUCUCUGCUGUUCCUCUCAAACUUCUUCCCAGCCUUCCACGCCGGGGGACGCCCAGGGACCGCCCAUUCCCCGGGACCGCCCGUCUCCCCGCCCCCGCCCCCGCCCCCGCCCCCGCCCCCGCCCCCGCCCCCGCCAAACUGAGCAAUACCCAGAGAGGAUGGAAAUGGCGAAGUGGCUUAGCGCCUGCCCGCUCCCGCGCAUGCUCCCUGACUUCACCAGGGUCACGCUGCAGCCCGCAGGAAUGAAAAUCCACUUCUCCGCAUUUUGGAGGUGACCUGGAAGCGGUUCAAAUGCUCUGGCUUCUCAGAAGAGGAGGGGACCGGGAAGUAACGAGGAGCCAAGAAGAGACUGCUCGCAAAACCCGGAAAAGCCUUCCCGAUCCACUCUGCUAGCCUCCGUGCGCCUCCAGACAUGCGCAGUAGCCUCCUCCGCGGUGGCGGCGGCGGUGGCGGCCGUGGAGGCUGAGAGUCCAGAGCCAGACGUUCCGGCCGCUUCGGGCUGGCGGCUGGAGAGCGCCCGGGUCAUGUCGGCCCAGGGGGACUGCGAGUUCCUGGUGCAGCGAGCCCGGGAGUUGGUGCCGCAGGACCUGUGGGCAGCCAAGGCGUGGCUGAUCACGGCCCGCAGCCUCUACCCGGCCGACUUUAACAUCCAGUAUGAGAUGUAUACCAUUGAGCGGAAUGCAGAGCGGACCGCCACCGCCGGGAGGCUGCUGUACGACAUGUUUGUGAAUUUCCCAGACCAGCCGGUGGUGUGGAGAGAAAUCAGCAUUAUUACAUCAGCAUUAAGGAAUGAUUCACAGGACAAACAAACCCAAUUUUUAAGAAGUUUAUUUGAAACUCUUCCUGGUCGGGUCCAGUGUGAAAUGUUACUAAAGGUCACGGAACAAUGCUUCAACACGUUAGAACGAUCAGAAAUGUUGCUUCUACUUUUGAGGCGCUUCCCUGAAACGGUGGUGCAGCAUGGGGUUGGCCUUGGGGAGGCACUAUUAGAGGCUGAAACUAUUGAAGAACAAGAAUCUCCAGUGAACUGCUUUAGAAAAUUAUUUGUUUGUGAUGUCCUUCCUCUAAUAAUUAACAACCAUGAUGUUCGAUUACCUGCCAAUUUAUUAUAUAAGUACUUGAACAAAGCAGCUGAAUUUUAUAUCAAUUAUGUCACUAGGUCUACUCAAAUAGAAAAUCAGCAUCAAGGCGCCCAGGAUACAUCUGAUUUAAUGUCACCUAGCAAACGUAGCUCUCAGAAGUACAUAAUAGAAGGGCUGACGGAAAAAUCAUCCCAGAUCGUGGACCCUUGGGAGAGGUUGUUUAAGAUUUUGAAUGUUGUUGGAAUGAGAUGUGAAUGGCAGAUGGAUAAAGGAAGACGAAGCUAUGGAGAUAUUUUGCAUAGAAUGAAGGAUCUCUGCAGAUACAUGAACAACUUUGAUAGUGAAGCACAUGCAAAAUAUAAAAACCAAGUGGUGUAUUCCACCAUGCUGGUCUUCUUUAAGAAUGCAUUCCAGUAUGUCAACAGCAUACAGCCGUCUCUCUUCCAAGGUCCUAAUGCCCCGAGCCAAGUUCCACUGGUUCUUCUUGAAGAUGUAUCGAAUGUGUAUGGCGAUGUAGAAAUUGAUCGUAAUAAGCACAUCCAUAAAAAGAGGAAACUAGCUGAAGGAAGAGAAAAAACCAUGAGUUCAGACGAUGAAGACUGUUCGGCAAAAGGAAGAAAUCGUCACAUUGUAGUCAAUAAAGCCGAACUUGCUAACUCCAUUGAAGUGUUAGAAAGCUUUAAAUUGGCCAGGGAGAGCUGGGAGUUGCUCUAUUCCCUAGAAUUCCUUGACAAAGAAUUUACAAGGAUUUGCUUGGCCUGGAAGACGGAUACUUGGCUUUGGUUAAGAAUCUUCCUCACUGAUAUGAUCAUCUAUCAGGGUCAAUAUAAAAAGGCGAUAGCCAGCCUGCAUCACUUAGCAGCUCUCCAGGGAUCCAUUUCUCAGCCACAGAUCACAGGGCAGGGGACCCUGGAACAUCAGAGGGCGCUCAUCCAGCUGGCGACGUGCCACUUUGCACUAGGGGAGUACAGAAUGACAUGUGAAAAAGUCCUUGAUUUGAUGUGCUACAUGGUACUCCCCAUUCAAGAUGGAGGCAAAUCCCAGGAGGAACCCUCAAAAGUAAAGCCCAAAUUUAGAAAAGGUUCGGAUCUGAAGCUCCUGCCUUGUACCAGCAAGGCUAUCAUGCCAUACUGCCUGCAUUUAAUGUUAGCCUGUUUUAAGCUUAGAGCUUUCACAGACAACAGAGACGACAUGGCAUUGGGGCAUGUGAUUGUGUUGCUUCAGCAAGAGUGGCCACGGGGCGAGAAUCUUUUCCUGAAAGCUGUCAAUAAAAUUUGCCAACAAGGAAAUUUCCAAUAUGAGAAUUUUUUCAAUUACGUUACAAGUAUCCUUUUUUCUUGUUUAAGCGUAACACAUUCUGAUUUUCUUUAGAAUGAAUACAUGAUACAAAAAGAAUGAACCAUUCUGGAUAGAAAUAAUGAUUUUUACUAUUUUGCAGCAAAGAGAAGGAAUGGGGAUUAAAACUGGGGCUGUGGCAGUUGAUCUUCUGAAAGUCGUAAAAGACAUGAUUCAAGGAAUUGGGAAUCUUACAACCCUCUUCCAUUUUCCACUGCUAGGUGACUACUAAGAAGGUACCCAAAAUGCCUCCAGUAAUAGCCUACAGGUUGCUGAUAGGUUCAGCUUGCCCGGUUUAGUCAUGGAAUAUAAUACUAAUAGUUCCUCUUCUUCCAUCUAACAAAAGAAUGCCUCCUGUGGCCUCUGGGGACAGUGGCUGUGCCCUGUGAUCACUUGUUAGGGCACCCUGCCAUUGCUGUCUUACCUACCAAUGAGUACCCACCAGAGAUGCUGCACAGCACAGUAGCUGCUUCUGACAUUCUAUUUCACACUGCUUAUUAGGGAAAGACCUUUGAAUUAAAGAGUCGGGGUCUUGCUGUGUCACCCAGGCUGGAGUGCAGUGGUGUGAUCGUAGCUCACUGCAGUCUUAAACUCCUGGGCUCAAGAGACCCUCCUACCUCAGCCUUCUGAGUAGCUAGGACAACAGGUGUGCACUACCAUGCCAGGCCAAAGUAAUAGUUUUUAACCAUGGUUUGGGACAGAUAUCUUUUGAGAAUCUAAUGAAAGUUACAUAAUUUUUCACUAGAAAAAUGCAUACAUGAAUGUCAUCGGCAUAUUGCAUAAAAUUUGGGUGACUCACAGAAGCUUCCUCCUCUGAUGCAUCUAAACACCCUUGCACCCCAGUUAUGAAGAAGUAAUCACUUGAUUUUUAUGAAUUUUAUGUUCUGUAACACCAAACAAUCCUCCCUACUUUCACCUUCUCUUUCAUUUCUUAUUAAGAAAACAAAAAGAUUUUGCUCUUGUGACCAUGUAGUAUUAAUUAUCAUCGAUAUGGAAAACAUGUUGUCCUCAUGCUCUUUAGCAUGGCACAUCUCAUGCCAAGAGUUAUCUGUGCGAGGGAGUUUAGUGGGUAUAAGAAUCAGGUUUUGGCAUCAGACAGAUCUGGGUUCACAUAUGGAGUCUGCAGUUAGUGGGGUAGCAAUGGCAAGUUACUCAACUGCCGAGACCCCAUUUCCUUAUCAGAGAGAACUAGCAUGUUUUUUAGUGGGAUGGCAAUGGGCAAGUUACUCAACUGACGAGACCCCAUUUCCUCAUCAGAGAAAACUAGCACCUUUUUUUACAUGUG